rnacentral:rRNA from 1 species
CCUACGGGCGGCAGCAGUGGGGAAUAUUGCACAAUGGGGGAAACCCUGAUGCAGCGACGCCGCGUGAGUGAAGAAGUAUUUCGGUACGUAAAGCUCUAUCAGCAGGGAAGAAAAUGACGGUACCUGACUAAGAAGCCCCGGCUAACUACGUGCCAGCAGCCGCGGUAAUACGUAGGGGGCAAGCUUUAUCCGGAUUUACUGGGUGGAAAGGGAGCGUAGACGGCAGCGCAAGUCUGGAGUGAACUACCAUGGCUUAACCAUUGAACUGGUUUGGAAACUGUGCAGCUAGAGGGCAGGAGGGGGAAGAGGAAUUACGAGUGUAGCGGUGAAAUGCGUAGAUAUUAGGAGGAACACCAGUGGCGAAGGCGGCUUACUGGACUGUAACUGACGUUGAGGCUCGAAAGCGGGGGGAGCAAACAGGAUUAGAUACCCUAGUAGUC